rnacentral:lncRNA from 1 species
UGCAUUUAAUUUAAUCUUUUUGGCAUUUUUGCGUCCAAUUUUUGUUCAUUUUUUAUCCGAUUAUUUUUAUUUUUUAGCCAAUUUAAUUAGUGGGAUUCAUUAGAAUUAAUUGUAUUUUUAAAUAUAAUUUUAUUUUGGUUUUUUAGUUUUAUUCAAAUUUUUAAACUUUGAUUUUAACGUUUUUUUUAGUUUUUAGAAUCAAGCUCUUUUCAAUUAAGAAAGAUCAAGGGGAAAUAUCUCCCUCCUCUCUAACAAGCAACUCCAUGCGCCGCCUCAUGAGAG